GAUGAACGCUGGCGGCGUGCCUAAUACAUGCAAGUCGAGCGAACAGACGAGGAGCUUGCUCCUCUGACGUUAGCGGCGGACGGGUGAGUAACACGUGGAUAACCUACCUAUAAGACUGGGAUAACUUCGGGAAACCGGAGCUAAUACCGGAUAAUAUAUUGAACCGCAUGGUUCAAUAGUGAAAGACGGUUUUGCUGUCACUUAUAGAUGGAUCCGCGCCGCAUUAGCUAGUUGGUAAGGUAACGGCUUACCAAGGCAACGAUGCGUAGCCGACCUGAGAGGGUGAUCGGCCACACUGGAACUGAGACACGGUCCAGACUCCUACGGGAGGCAGCAGUAGGGAAUCUUCCGCAAUGGGCGAAAGCCUGACGGAGCAACGCCGCGUGAGUGAUGAAGGUCUUCGGAUCGUAAAACUCUAUUAUUAGGGAAGAACAAAUGUGUAAGUAACUAUGCACGUCUUGACGGUACCUAAUCAGAAAGCCACGGCUAACUACGUG
rnacentral:rRNA from 1 species